rnacentral:lncRNA from 1 species
GAAACUCUUCAGGCAGUGAGGUAGCACACGAAGAAAGGAAGGCAUGAAUAGAUUUUCACACAAAUGCACACGCACACACAAUGUGAAUAUCUGUAUGGGCUCUGCCUGCAUAAAAUUCACUCUGUGCUAAGCUGUGUGUUUGAAAAUAUACGUGCCAAACUACAUAUAAUUGGUGCAGGCAGUUGUUGCUGCAGAGGCGGGGUGGCAGUACUGGUAAUCAUGUAAGUGCAAACAUGUGGAAACGGAAACUUAGGGCUAUGGGAAGAGUCCAUAGGUGUUUGUGACUGCACGGCUCGCUCGUAUACCCAAGGCUAUGCUGCACAAGUGCAUAGGAACAUGUGUGGAAAACAUCAGCUAUUUCCUUUCACUUGGAGAAGCGCCAGUGAUAGGAUCUGGACUUUAAAUAACCCCAUCUUGCUUUUUAAAAAGGCAAAUCAAAAUAAUCCAAUUAUUCGGAAGACGGUGUUAAAGAAAGCUGUAAUUCAGAUGCUCACUGUGUGUUUAUCUAGUGUCUUAUAAAAUAAUAAGCAAUAUAAUCUGCUAAAUACUGCAUCGUGGCUAUUUAGACAUUGGGAUUGCUCUCAAAGUUAAGUUGGGUUAAUUAGAGCAUGUACUGCGCGCCUAUAAGAGGCAACGUUGGGCUCUGCCUGGGGAGCCAGACGUGAGUGCUUUUUCAAAACUGAGUACAACCCAUACAGCUGAAAAUCUGGAGUCUAUUGACAGUGCAUGCAGGUUAGGGGCUCUGCUGCCUCCGAAGCUCCUUCAGCAUUUUUUUUUAACUUUGAAAGAUCGUUCCUUAUUUAAAUAGUGUUUUUCUUUGUUGCUUUAUCAGAAAUCAACCCACAGAAGAGUAGGGGAAUGAAUAUGGAAAUAACCAUAUGAAAGAAAUUAUGAAACCUGUUUAUAGGCAGUGUUCUGCCAAAUGAGCAAUCAGAAAAUAUGAUUCUUUUUCUCCCCAUGGCUUUUUCAGUUACAAGAAUUUAGAAAAAGUGAGAGGGAAAGGUCCCGUUCCUGGAGGAAACAAAGUGUUUUUAUAACACAUCCAAGUCCAGGUGUUCAGACUCUGUUGGAACCGCUAAUGGAAGAGUUAUUAACGCAACCGAAGCCUCCCUUCUCAGAAAUCAGGCACAGAGCAGGCAGCAGCGAGCAGCCCUGCCGGCACUGUCCUGCCCUCCCGCCUGCUCCCUCCCCCUCCUCUCCCGGAGCAGUGCCCUCCAAGGAAGCACUCUUCUUCUCCAGAAGCCAUCCAAACGCAGCUGCCACCAGCAGUGUCCACAGUGGUUUUGCUGGUUUUGGAGGAUGUUUUUUUCUUCAUCACACGCUUCUGAGCAACCGUUAUUAACAGUCGAGGAAAUUUCAGCUGUGCUGAGAGGCUGCCUAUGAUGGAGGUGAUGGGACUUGCCUAACACUGAGGUUUUUGUUAGUGCUCACAUCAUGGCACUCGGAACGCUCCCAGGAACUGGAAUUUUUUUUGAGUUCAGUCCCUAUGGCCGGAGCCAAGCAGUCCCCAGCAAAGCACGCCAGUACAUGUACAAGAUGUUCAACAAACACUGUGGUUCGUAUUUGCAAAGAACAUUGUGAACAUAAAUCACAACUUACAAAGCCAAAGGAAGAUGUCAGAACAGUUAACAAAUGUUGCUUGUCACCCAAAUACUCUGAUUGGCUCUAAGAAUACAGGGAUCUGUGGUUUUCAGUUAGUCCUCUGUGAGUUAGCUGAUCAUAUUUAACAAAGUCUGUCAAGAUCUUCUUGUACCCCAUAAAAUGAGCUCCCGAAAUGCCUAUCAUAUAAUCACCUCUUCUUUACUUAUUUUUUUAAUGAAAGCCUCGAGCAGCUGGGAGAUUCUGCAGUUCUCUGAAUAUUCAGACAAUUGAAAGAGGAUAAAAAAAGAAUUCUGUGGCAUGCGUUUUUUGAGGCUGUGGAUAUUGGGACUUAGAUGUGUGAUGCUUUUGUGAUCAGCAAUACAAUUCUGUAUUCAUGAGAAAGUAAAAUAUGAAGUAUAGCAUGAAGUAGCUGUUGCAUUUGUGCUUUAUCUUGAAGCAGUAAUUGAAUAACUGCUAACUGCUGAAUCCUGAAGGGGAAAAAAAAAAAACUGUAUGGUUCCCUAGCAUUCUUUUAUGCUACAGAAGUUCAUCCAUCCAUCCUAAUUUAUGAAAUGCCUUCGUAUUUUGUUCUUCCAAAAUGUGACCAAAUAUGUUUCUGAAGUAAUGUCUUUAUUAUCUCGUGCUUUAUCAGAGGGGAAGGAGGCACAGAAUUUCCACGAAUUCUCAUUGUUGUUAUCUCUUUGAAUACGCAGCCCAGACAAAGAGCCCUUUGAAUGUAAAGUAAGAGAAGUGCUAACGCUCAGCUAUAGGUUGAUGCCAAACUCUUACAAGCAUGAAAAUCCUUCUCACAUUUCAGUGCACGCAGCAUCACUGGCCACUAAUACACAAUAAAGGAAGGCAGAGCGAAGCCCUAGCACCAUGGAAAGUUUUUAGUAGUCUGUUGAAGGUGCCAUUCAUCAUGUUAUUGAGUGCCUCCGUGAUCUGAUCGGCUUCCUUGACUCCCAUUAAAAUGGAAAAUAAGGGCUGCAUAGGUUCAGUACCUUAUAGGUCACGAGAAACUUGCAAAACCUGCAGCUCCUAAGGGCGCCUGACCUGCAGUGGAGGAACGUGGGCUAAUUUGUCCACGACAAAUGUAUUGGCUGCUUUGUUCUUGGUACUUCGGCACCGGCUCAGAAGUCACUUCGCUGUACUGCUCUGCUGGAUGGAGACAAAAUGAAGCCGUGGUUCUUUCCCAACAGGACCACCCUCUCACCACACCUUUGAUGCCGUGGUGUUCCACAGGAGCUGUGAACAGCCUGCCUGCGCGUGGGGGUCAGCAACAGCCAACUUCCAGGCAAAAAUGCUGACAAAAACCCAAAGCUCCCCGUAUUCAGAGAGGUCUCACAGCCUGGGAUGGAUCUGUGGCCUUCCAGACUGCUGGAGGCUGUGAGAAUUGUGGAAUUUGACUCAGCUGGGCUGCCUCCUUCCUGCACCAAAGUUUCAAUGCAAACAUAGAAUGAAAAUUUCUUUCUUCAAACAUAAUUAAUUGCUUUCAAGUUUUGGCACUAAUGUUACUAUUGGAUUUCCGGGGCAUCCCAUGGUAAUGAUUAGAACUAAGCAAAUACCUCAAAAUAUUUUCCGUAAAAACUCCCUUGAAUAAAACAUGGAAUAGCCUUCAGCUGUGUUCAGACCCUUCUGUAUUUGCUUUCUCUGAAUAUUCCAGUGACUGAUUUACGGGCAGAAAUCUUAACUGAAACUGCAGUUUUUAAGGGAAUGUUGCACACCAUUUAUGGAAAGCAGAGUUUAAACUCCUAAAUAUGAAUAUAAUAACCAAAUGAAGACUAACUGGAGCAAAAAAAUAUCAGGUGACUCGAGUCCACCCAGUGUCGGGAGUCCGCCUCAGUGUUUGCAACUGCAAAGAAAACUAAGAAGGUGUCUGUGCACCGUGAAGACUGAAAAUUAGGACCAGAUAAAACUUGUGAGGUACUUAAUGACUUCUGAAAAAGCUCCUGAGCAGUUUGUGUCUGCAGCUCCUAUUGGCAACAUAACUGCAAAUUUGGCCAUAACUCAAAAUGAUGUUGGAUCCUGAAUGGAGUUAGGAAUUCAAAGUUAAUUGUGAACAGGAAAAGAGGCUGAGCUCGUUAACUUAGUUGUUUACUACGAAUUAGCUGCUUGGCCUUAGUAAUUUUAAAAGGUUCUUGACUGCUUCUUCAGAACAUCGUUGUUAAAGAAGUAUUUGCACAGUGCUCCUCAACAACUUUAGUUUUCCUCUGGAUUAUACCGUUAAGACCUACAGGUAAAAAUGCACAGACAUUGCAUGUCUAAUUUACACCAAUCAGGUGAGAUUGUACAGAGGUGACCAUGGCAUCCUUGGACAUAUAAGAACAUCCAGAAAACUCACAUUAUCAGCUGUAUUGGAAAGGAAAAAAAAAAAAUUCUAAGAUGUGGUCUUUAAACUCUCUCCAUUUUUUCUUUUUUUUCCACAUUUGAAGCUCUUAUCCAUUCUGUAGCAUGUUCCAGAGAGAGGUAGCUCUGCUCGUACAGAGAACCUCAGAAAGAUCUGCAUUUUUCCCCUAUGAGUGCAAAAAUAUCUUCAUGCAAUAUCUGAAAAAUCUCAUUUAAAUGCUCUGUGAAUACAGCCCUUCCCAAAGGCCAAGAUGUAUUCAUGUAUUUUGGAUGAUCUUCAGCUAGAGAACUGUGCAGCUAAUGCACCCAUCUUACCAUGUAAAAGAUUUAAAAUAAAAAAAAUAAAUGAGAGAGAAGCUGGAAAAGCCAGCCUGGAGCCUGUAACCCAGAUUCAUGCUUUUAAAUAAAGACAGUCUGAGCAUGUUCUUAUUGCCCAGUUCCAGCAACGGCUAAGGUUCAUUCUUUAAAAAUGAAGGGUCAGAGUAUUUUCUUUGGGAUGCUUAAACUUUAUUGAACCUCUGUAACCAUUUUGUAAGGUCUUUUUAAAAUACCGGCAUCAAAUGACAAUUUGAAGGAUGGAGAGUGCUCGGUGUUCUCUGCAGGACAACAAAUGGAAGGGGGUUUCUAAGGUUGGAUGUUAUAAAUGGAUAUUGAAGGUACUUCAUCACAGUCUGGCCAAAUUCAAACUCAGACUAGAUUAUCAGAAUAUUAAAGACAAAAGGCCACCAGACCUUCGGCAGGAUGCAUAGGCACACUUUACUUUCUGUUCUCCCAUCUAAAAAAAUAAUGUGUUUUCUCCUGCCACCACAUGCUAAAUGAAGUCAUGUCUUUCUUUUGUUAAUAAGACAGCUAUUUUCUGAGUCUCUUAAGUUUUUCUAAAUUUUCUUACCACAAACACUGUUCACUUCACUUCUCAUCCUAAGACUGAUAACAGGGCUUCUAUGAACAUGAACAUUCGUGAUCAAAGAGCAACUCUGUAAGAUAAACAAAUUACAACAACUGGGCACGCUUUGAAACAGCUUAACCUAAUUAAACUCAAACACUUCCACAAAAGCUUAAAAAAAUGGAUGUAAUUGGAGCUCCAUUCAGGUUCAGUUGACUUCACAUUUUCAGUUUG